CUAUCGACAAAGUUGUUUUGGUUUGCUUCAGGCUAUUCACACUGCCAUUUCGGUCAACUACGGCCUAUCUCAGAGUUGUUUCGACCUUCCGUAGGCAUCAACAACUCUUUGGUCUUGUGCGAAUUAGUUGCUGGAAAUGGUUGAAAAGCUUAACACAAUUUGCAUCAAGGAACAUAGUCAGAUAUAUUAACAUAUAUUUUAUAGGAAGGGCAUGCCAUUAUUUGCGGAAUUACAUAACAUAGAGUAAAAUAAACACUUUAAACAAUGAUAUAAAAAUAUGUAUACUAAAGAACAUAUGUUUUUAAAAGUAACUAAGAAUUUAACUAAGUGUAGUAAAAACAUUUCAUAUAUUUGGUGUUCCUUGUAUUUAUUUUAUGAUCCUUAACUUGUGUAAUUGUUAACACAAACAUGUCAGCAUUAGGUUUAGAUUAAAGGCAAAGACAAAAGUAGACAAUCAUGUUUAAAGGUUAAUCCUUUGGAGAGAAAGAAAUAUGAUAAUUGAAACUUUUUUGAUUGUUUUACUUCAUGUAGAACAAUAUGGAUGGAGGGGACAACAUAACUUUGUCCAAUUGAAAUUGCUUUAAUCUUUCAGUUUUGUUCUGAUAUAACGUAGUCUAGCUUUUCUUAAGGUUGUGGUAUUUUAAUUGUUAUGUCAUUUUACUUUUAUUUACUACUAUUAUAUAUAUAAAAGAUUAGUGAGCAUGUGGAUCUAUGUGCUUGCAUAUAUGAAAUUAAUGAUCAUACUGACAAUCUUCCACUACAACAUUUUUACCCUAUAGCAACGCCUAGUUUUUGGGAGGUAAAAAUAUUAUUCUCAUAGAUUGUAAUAGGCAAC
rnacentral:lncRNA from 1 species